rnacentral:rRNA from 1 species
GAUGAACGCUAGCGGCAGGCUUAAUACAUGCAAGUCGAGGGGGCAGCGGGGGAUAGCAAUAUUCGCCGGCGACCGGCAAACGGGUGCGGAACACGUACGCAACCUUCCCAAAACAGGUGAAUAGCCCUGCGAAAGUAGGAUUAAUACACCGUAAGAUAUAGAGGUGGCAUCACAUCUAUAUUAUAGGCAGCAAUGCCGGUUUUGGAUGGGCGUGCGCCUGAUUAGGAGUUGGUGCGGGUAACGGCCCACCAAGCCUUCGAUCAGUAACUGGUGUGAGAGCACGACCAGUCACACGGGCACUGAGACACGGGCCCGACUCCUACGGGAGCAGCAGUAAGGAUAUUGGUCAAUGGACGGAAGUCUGAACCAGCCAUGCCGCGUGAAGGAUGAAGGCCUCUGGGUUGUAAACUUCUUUAUUCUGGGACGAAAAAGGGCUUUAUAGCUCACUUGACGGUACCGAGAGGAAUAAAGCACCGGCUAACUCCGUGCCAGCCGCCGCCGU